rfam:Neotoma lepida isolate 417 scaffold_18, whole genome shotgun sequence.
AGGAGUGUAGCUCAGUGGUACAGCACUUGCUUAGCAUGCAUGAGGCCUUGGAUUCAAUCCCUAACACCACAA